rnacentral:rRNA from 1 species
UACGUAGGGGGCAAGCGUUGUCCGGAUUCAUUGGGCGUAAAGAGCGUGUAGGCGGCCAUGCAGGUCAGCUGUGAAAACUCGAGGCUCAACCUCGAGACGUCGGUUGAAACCGUAUGGCUAGAGUCCGGAAGAGGAGAGUGGAAUUCCCGGUGUAGCGGUGAAAUGCGCAGAUAUCAGGAAGAACACCCGUGGCGAAGGCGGUUCUCUGGGACGGUACUGACGCUGAGACGCGAAAGCGUGGGGAGCGAACAGG